GAACGCUAGCGGCAGGCUUAAUACAUGCAAGUCGUGGGGCAGCAUGAGUAGCAAUACUUGAUGGCGACCGGCAAACGGGUGAGGAACACGUACACAACCUUCCUUCAAGCGGGGAAUAGCCCAGAGAAAUUUGGAUUAAUACCCCAUAAUAUAUUUGAUAAGGCAUCUUAUUAAUAUUAAAGCUUCGGCACUUGAUGAUGGGUGUGCGGCUGAUUAGAUAGUUGGCGGGGUAACAGCCCACCAAGUCUACGAUCAGUAGCUGAUGUGAGAGCAUGAUCAGCCACACGGGCACUGAGACACGGGCCCGACUCCUACGGGAGGCAGCAGUAAGGAAUAUUGGACAAUGGACGAAAGUCUGAUCCAGCCAUGCCGCGUGAAGGAUUAAGGUCCUCUGGAUUGUAAACUUCUUUUAUAUGGGACGAAAAAAGGGCAUUCUUGUUCACUUGACGGUACCAUAUGAAUAAGCACCGGCUAACUCCGUG
rnacentral:rRNA from 1 species